GCAAGACCCUUGAGUUUAGGUUUAAGAUUCCUGUUGCAGUCUCUUUGUUUCAGGGCCGAGGAUUCGGGGGAAAAAAAAAAAAAAAUCAAUCCACAGCAAAUAUCCAAAGAGUUGGCAGGGUGGAAGAUGAGCCUGCUAAAAGGCCAAAUACUCUCACGCUCCCUCAGAAUGGUGCUGUUACAUGUGCGUGCAGGAGUGGAUAAUACGAGGCAAAUGUACAGAUCUAUAAAACCUGACACAAGUCCAAUAUGUAGAACACAUGUUUCACAUUUUGGUUACAUAUGUUUUGGGUUUAGAUUUGAACAAAAGACAGGUCAGCCAGUUGCUACCCUUCAUUUUUUCAUUGUAAUGAACAGGAAGCUUGCCUGUCUACUCAAGAGUAACUGGUUUCCUACUCUUUCUUUGUAAGCUGUUUAUUUUCUCUAGCUCACAUCUGUUUUCAUCCUUAAACUCAUUUUAUGCUAACAGAAGAAAAAUCCAACUACCUAGUCAUCAAGAAAUCUUGAGUCACAGAAGUCAUUGGUUGAAAUAGGGCUGAAAUACAAAGUAUUUUCAUUGUAUCUAAAGAAUAGCUGAGUUACAACUUUAAUUUUUGACAGUUGUUUGCAUUUGCAAAGCUAAUAUUUAGAGAACCUUUGGAACUGCAAGAAUACUCUUAUGAAUACUUAGAUUUCACAAAAGCUAAUAAAUCACUAGAAGCUUACUGGCGAAGCUUGUUAACAAACACCAUCUCCAACUAUUGUUAUUUGAAUACAUUUUGUACUGCUGCUUCACUAAUACAUUUCCGUAAUUUUCCAUAGGACUCGGUAGGGACAGUAACAGUUCUUGUGUUACUCCAUUCUGUGCUCUGUUUUUUUUUCUGUUCAUGUGAUCAUCUUGACUUCCUGAGCAUUGUGUCUUCCCACCACUGUGUAUUUCACUGACGCCUUAAUGCCUUUGAACAGUGGCACUUGUGCUCUGGUGCCUCUUCCUGCAUGAGCUGAAGAUACAUCAGCUGUCCACUUAUGUGCUAGGGGAUACCAAUACACUACUGUCUGUUGUCAUACACAUAGGCAGCAGAAUAUGAUGUGUAUCAGCCCCUCAGCUGGGUUGAUGUAUAAACAAAGACAUUUAAGCUACUGGUGGAUUCUGGCUUCUCCUAAAUGACUGUGGUGUGUGAGGUGUAGGCACAAGUUCAUACCUGGUAGUCCUGCUGAAGAGAAAGCAAUUGCCCACAAUAGAAUAACAUAGAAAGAUUAACUAAUUUUUUAGGAGCAUAAAGCAGGAUUCACUAAAGCGGGUAAUUCAUAGUCUUCUAUUUAAUUGCAAAAAUUUUUAUGUUAUUUAUUAAAUCAGGGAGAACCAUACUUUGAAUUAGGAAGAGCUUGUGCAAACAGAAGGCAGCAGAACUGAGAUGAGAACAGUCACUACCUAACUUAGAGCCAGUUUCUUGUUCAUAUGAGGAGUUGCUCAGUCAAAUUGGAAGACAGUCGGUGGAGGAGAAACAUCUGGGUCGUUGAAUGCAUGGGAAAUCUUACAUAGCAGUGGGAGUACGUGGAAGAAGACAGAAAGACAGAGAUCAUCAAAUGUGCACAGGCCAAUAACAAGGCAAAUAAAAUACACAGUGUCAGUGAGUCACAAA